rnacentral:lncRNA from 1 species
UUGACGGUUUUGCUCCCCGUGUCUUGUGUUGACAUUGUUUUCAACGUCUUUCUUCUUUUUCCCUUUGUUGCUACGAUGGUUCAUGACAUUGCUACUCCGCUUGUUCACACUAUUAUUCUACUAGUUAAUUUAUCUCGUCAGGUUCCACUUCCAUUCUUUAUUUAAAAUAUACAUAUGACUGCGAGCAGAUAAAACAACUCCUUUUUGCCUGCCAACUCUACGUACACAUACAUUGGCGAUACUAACUAAAUGAACUAAAUGCAUGGUUGGUGUCUUUGGACGUAAACUCACGUGCUCGGAAAAGUCACGAAUGGUGUAUAUAAGAAGGAUAACACUGCUACUUUAUGGAACCACCAAAUUUUCUCUCAUAAAUUUCUACUUCAUGCAUGGACUUGACCGAUGCAACAUGUGCUUUAGAAGAGAGUUUCUGGGCAAGCAUGGGGCAUGAUUCCAAGACAUUAUUCAAUUAGGUGUAGGGAUGGAAGACAAUGGGACUCUAUGGACUAUGGAACAUGGCCGAAAUAUUUAGAUGCUGUUUAAGAAUGCCAGCGAGAGUUAGCUAUAGUGGCGCAACCACAACGUUGAGGUUGUCGAGCUUUCACAAGAAUUUUGAGGCUCAAUGUCGUGGUUGUAAUUUUCUCAUUUAUUGAUGUUCCUUUCUGCAUCUGUGGAUUCAGUAACCCAUUAACUAGUUGUAUCUAGUGUUCUCAUUAUUUGACAUAAUUAAGCUACGUUAAAAAAAAUUGAGACAAAGUUUCCUCCCUCACAAAAAAAUAACAAAAAAUUAGGUUCAUCGAUCAGUAACGUAACAUGCGUUGUGCUAGUGUGGCUCAUUCAAAAAUCAAGACACAAAUUUUACAAAUACAUGAAUUUCUGUCAAAAAUAAACAAAAAUGUCAGAAUCUUUUGCGGAGACAUUAAAUAGUAAGAAAAAUGAAUCACUUGCACUUUUCCAGGACACGUCGAUAACCCUCUGUCCCAUCCAUUAAUUUUCGCUUGCUAUGGUUCCUGCCGGUUGGUCAGGACCGCAGCCGCCGGUUGUGUUGCCUUUGUUGGUAGGGUCUUAUUUCUCCUUCCUUUCAUUGUUGUGGUUGUUGAUGUUGUUGUUAAUUGUUUUUUUAAGGCAGUUUGCAAAUUGUUUGUAUCAAAGACUUUGUUGCUUGUUACAGUUUACUUGUGAGUGGUAAACUCACCGUCCCAUACCAAAACCUGACCAGGACCAGUCAUCCGCUCCAACAAAAAAGAAAGAAAGGGAUAUCCAAAUUGUGUUUGU